GGAGUUUUUAGCCUUUUAACAUUCAAGGAUUAGAGCUCCCUCUUUGCCCACUAGCAGGGCAUUAGCUGGUGCUGAAGACAGUGGCUGCUUGGCGAGCCUGGAUCUCCAAGUGACCCCCUCAGCAACUCCUGAUGAACAGGACUGAAGCCAAUAUUAAAGCAAGUCAACCAAAGGUUCUCUGGUGUAGACAAGACAGCAAAAGGACAGACUACCUUGUGGAACCUAGCAUUGUUCUCCUUCUGCAGCACUAAGUAACAUUUGUUCUCCGUUAAGAUCUUUGCAAACCACACACAAGAAUUGCUGGUCAUCCUGCCAAUAGAUGCUGCUCACAGAACCAAAUUUCCUGUGCUGAAUUGUCACUCAUGGGCUUGAGAGUAGGAGACUGGAGACCAAGGUGGCUAGAAUCCAGUUGGGCCUGAUGUCUCCCUGUUGAAAGGGCUCCUUGUGGAAUGAAUAGCACAUGGCUCCUGUGGUGGAUCUGAUAGUGGCAUAGCACCAAGUGAUGCAGGCCUGCCAGGGGCCACAGACACAGAAGAUGCUCCCGGGGUCCCCCAUGUACUCCAGACACACUGCAGGCCACCUCUCCCAGCAGGUUGCCAGUCAUGGGCCCCAUCAUCAUGACUUCUGUCCAAGGUACUGUGUGCAGAAAUGUGAUUGAGAUUCAAGUCAGGGCCUCUCUGCCCUUUUCCCUCCAGAAACAAAACCAAGAUAAUUUAUCCUGAACACGGUGAAAAAAGGAAGGGAGGGAGGAGAAAAAGUCCGGGUCUCACCUGGGAUUCUCUGUCUCCUGCAACAUGAAGGAUUUAGCCUGGGAGGAGGUGGUGAGAACUCUGGGAGAGAAAAAAGAAGGAAAGAAUAGUUUUACCCAUGCUGAAGUUAAUUUAAACCUUCACCUAGAGAAGCAAAAAAAAAAAACCCACACUUUCCCAUUUUGUGCCUCCCUUCCUAGAGUUUUAGCCAAAGGUUUAGCUAAGUAAUUGGUUUUACCAGCGCACUCACUCCUCCUAUCCCAAGUCUGUUUGACUCCCUCCCCAUCAUCCUCCUCACCUCUUUUCAGGCAGGGUGGGGAUAGCAGCAGGAGGAGAUUUUGGGAGCCUGGCAACUCCUGCAAGGACCGCAGGACAGCCCCUCUGUGGGGAUGCGUGGUGCCCCAUCUGCCGCCCUUCUGAAGAAUGCACUGCCUUCACUUUUUACUGUGUUAGAGUCCAUCCAGACUGUUCUAUCCAAAAAAGUUUCUUUUUCCCCCACAGGCAAUCAGGAAAUGAUUCCUUUCCCGACUGCUUCUGUCUAGUGCCUGGGAAUCUUGAGUCAAUCCCUCAGUAAGUCAGUGACUAGGGAAAUCCCUCUCUGAGCCUCCCAGUUCAUGUUGCUUAGGGAACCUGAUAUUUUCGUGAAACCUGCCUACACAUGGGCAGCCCAACAGCAGAACAAAUGGUGGUGACCAAAGUGAACAAAGAAGUAUAGUUGUGCCAGCUUCGUAGUUGCCCAUGUGGACAAGUCAGCAGGAUCAGGACACGAGGAAGAGUAAAUGUGAGACAGUCAAUGUGACUUCUGCGAUAAACAGAUUUUUAAACCCCGAAAUUUUGCAAAAUUUUGGUGAAACCUGAACUUUCUUCGUUGCAUAUACUGGCACUAUCUGUACCAUCAUACAACUGUCUCACAUUAAAGCUAUUUUUCUUGGGCACUGAUGAGUAAGGUUGGUAUAAGUUCCUCAGAUCAACAAAAACCCAUUUUCCUGUAAGUCUUACAUUUAGUAUUUAAGGAACUAAAACUUAAAUACAUUUUGUGAAAUGGUUGACACUUCACUGAUAAUGAUUUAUUGCUUGGAUUAAUAAAUUUUCCAAAAGUUGUCUUAUGUAGAAUAUGGUUUGCAACCAGCAGAACCAUUAAUCUAUACUGCAAUGAUAUGCACUAUGUAUAAUUGUUUAAAAGCCUCUACUUAAUGAUGUAAAAUGCUCUAUUUAAUUACACAUUUGGGUAAACUGUAUACUAACAUCUGAUGGCAUUUUUCCACUGUUUGUUGCUUUUUUCAAAUACUUUAUUGUACAAAGCUGUUCUUAAUAUUUUUCAAGUUUUUUUCUUUGAAUUUUGCUAAUGUUUUCCUUGAAUUAUGAGCACUGACAGAAUGUGCUUAGCACUUUUGGCUAUUCACACAGCUUUUGAGCAUGAUUUGCAUCCAAUAUUUACAUUGCUAGCAAUAAUAAGCCAUCUGUGAGUUUUGUCAAAAGUUAUUGGGGAUUUUUUAAAUUUUAGAAAUGCAAAUUAUUGUUUCUUUGAACUAACUCUUAUGCAGUUGCAAAGGCAUUUCCAGUUGUUAUAGUUUGUGUACAAUAUCAGGUGUUCCAGAUUAUGAUUCAUUAUUAAUAUCAUUGCUUCCUUGUUCCCUCUGAGGUCCAGAAGAUUCAUGUUUACAAUAUUUAGAAACAAUGUUAAAAAGGU
rnacentral:lncRNA from 1 species